rnacentral:miRNA from 1 species
AUGGGUCUGACGGAGCAGCCGC